ensembl:snRNA U6 U6 spliceosomal RNA
GUGCUUGCUACGGCUGCACAUAUACUAAAAUUGGAUCGAUACAGAGAAGAUUAGCCCCUGCGAAAGGAUGACACCAAAUCCGUGAAGCGUUCCAUAUUUUG